rnacentral:pre_miRNA from 1 species
AGUAGGAUAGUUGAGUCAUACAGAUGGUUCCAUUUCUAGUUUUUUGAGGAAUGUCUACACUGCUUUCCAGAGUGGUUGUACUAAUCUGCAGUCUCACCAACAAU